UACAGAGGUCCCAAGCGUUGUUCGGAUUCAUUGGGCGUAAAGGGUGCGUAGGCGGGUCUUUAAGUCAGGGGUGAAAUCCUGGAGCUCAACUCCAGAACUGCCUUUGAUACUGAAGAUCUUGAGUUCGGGAGAGGUGAGUGGAACUGCGAGUGUAGAGGUGAAAUUCGUAGAUAUUCGCAAGAACACCAGUGGCGAAGGCGGCUCACUGGCCCGAUACUGACGCUAAGGCACGAAAGCGUGGGGAGCAAACAGG
rnacentral:rRNA from 1 species